rnacentral:rRNA from 1 species
UACGUAGGGUGCAAGCGUUGUCCGGAAUUAUUGGGCGUAAAGAGCUCGUAGGCGGUUUGUCGCGUCUGCUGUGAAAACUCGGGGCUUAACUCCGGGCCUGCAGUGGGUACGGGCAGACUAGAGUGCGGUAGGGGAGACUGGAAUUCCUGGUGUAGCGGUGAAAUGCGCAGAUAUCAGGAGGAACACCGGUGGCGAAGGCGGUUCUCUGGGCCUGACCUGACGCUGAGGAGCGAAAGCGUGGGGAGCGAACAGG